rnacentral:rRNA from 1 species
AGUGGGGAAUUUUGGACAAUGGGCGCAAGCCUGAUCCAGCAAUGCCGCGUGAGUGAAGAAGGCCUUCGGGUUGUAAAGCUCUUUUGUCAGGGAAGAAACGGGUGCGGCUAAUAUCUGCAUCUAAUGACGGUACCUGAAGAAUAAGCACCGGCUAACUACGUGCCAGCAGCCGCGGUAAUACGUAGGGUGCAAGCGUUAAUCGGAAUUACUGGGCGUAAAGCGUGCGCAGGCGGUUUUGUAAGUCUGUUGUGAAAUCCCCGGGCUUAACCUGGGAAUGGCAAUGGAGACUGCAAGGCUAGAGUUUGGCAGAGGGGGGUAGAAUUCCACGUGUAGCAGUGAAAUGCGUAGAGAUGUGGAGGAACACCGAUGGCGAAGGCAGCCCCCUGGGUCAAGACUGACGCUCAUGCACGAAAGCGUGGGGAGCAAA